rnacentral:rRNA from 1 species
CCUGGCCUUGACAUACUAAGAACUUUCCAGAGAUGGAUUGGUGCCUUCGGGAACUUAGAUACAGGUGCUGCAUGGCUGUCGUCAGCUCGUGUCGUGAGAUGUUGGGUUAAGUCCCGCAACGAGCGCAACCCUUUUCCUUAUUUGCCAGCGGGUUAAGCCGGGAACUUUAAGGAUACUGCCAGUGACAAACUGGAGGAAGGCGGGGACGACGUCAAGUCAUCAUGGCCCUUACGGCCAGGGCUACACACGUGCUACAAUGGUCGGUACAAAGGGUUGCUACCUCGCGAGAGGAUGCUAAUCUCAAAAAAGCCGAUCGUAGUCCGGAUCGCAGUCUGCAACUCGACUGCGUGAAGUCGGAAUCGCUAGUAAUCGCGGAUCAGAAUGCCGCGGUGAAUACGUUCCCGGGCCUUGUACACACCGCCCGUCACACCAUGGGAGUUUGUUGCACCAGAAGUAGGUAGUCUAACCGCAAGGAGGACGCUUACCACGGUGUGGCCGAUGACUGGGGUGAAGUCGUAACAAGGUAAGCGUAGAUGA